rnacentral:lncRNA from 1 species
CUUGGAAUCAGAAGUCUGGGGUUUGAGCCCUCUCUCUGCUGCUUGGGAGUUGUAUGACUUUUGGGAAGUAAUUUUUCCUCAUCUGAACUUGUAAGAUAAUGAAAUGAAUCUAAAUAAUCUCUAAAAUUUCUUCCGGCUCUGACAUUCUGUGAUUCUUUAACUGCGUGGGCAGGAGGCUGUGGGGAAGGGUGAUGACGGAGAGCCUCUGAUCUGCAGUAUGGAAAGACACUGGAUCAAGCAUAACCCACUGUCACUCCAAACUCCUAAAGUCAAGCAAUCCACCAAACUCAGCAGCCUGAGGAGCAGGGAUGAACCAAUGCUGCCAGCUGAGACUGAAUAUUGCGAAAUUAAAGUGACCAAGGUUGGCCCCAAAGAAGAGACAAGAGAAGAUAUCUCCUACAUCCUUUGCAGAGCCUUGCCCCAGCCGAGCACUGCCCAUGGUGCUGAAGACAAUGAAGUUGGAUCCCUCAGGGACAAAAGACUCGCCAUCUCCAUUGUUCAUCUGGAGCUGACCAGUAAGAAGUAGAAUUGGGACUGAGGAGAGAGACCAGGGGGCCAAGGGAAGGGAUGUGGGAAGGGAUGGAGUCUCUGAUAAACACAUCUGCCAUAGGGAAGAGCUAUAAUAUGACACAAUCAUUGUUGGAUACUGAGCUGCGGAACACGGAGAAGCC